rnacentral:tRNA from 1 species
GCGCCCGUAGCUCAAUUGGACAGAGCAUCUGCCUUCUAAGCAGACGGUUGAAGGUUCGAGUCCUUCCGGGCGUACCA